rnacentral:pre_miRNA from 7 species
GGGCUCACAGGAUACAAUGCGGGUCCUCAGGCUACAACACAGGACCCGGGCGCUGCUCUGACCCCUCGUGUCUUGUGUUGCAGCCGGAGGGACGCAGGUCUGCA